UACGUAGGUGGCAAGCGUUGUCCGGAUUUACUGGGCGUAAAGCGCGCGCAGGCGGCCUGUCGCGUCUGGGGUGAAAUCUCCCGGCUCAACCGGGAGAGGUCUCCGGAUACGGGCAGGCUUGAGGGGAGCAGAGGAGAGUAGAAUUCCCGGUGUAGCGGUGAUAUGCGUAGAUAUCGGGAGGAACACCAGUGGCAAAGGCGGCUCUCUGGGCUCUCCCUGACGCUGAGGCGCGAAAGCGUGGGUAGCAAACCGG
rnacentral:rRNA from 1 species